AACUAUCACCUAUCUUCAAAAUGGAGAAUAACUGUACCAAUGAUUCAUAAAAUGAAAAAUGAUGGAAGAGUGAUAUUUUAAAGUAUUGAUUCUAGAAGUGCAACCCAAUUAAUAAACUGAUCAUUUCCUUUAACCUUCAUAAUUUAUGUUUCUUUUAAGCCAAUUACAUAAGAUAAAAAUCCUCAGGGUACUUGCUUAUAAACUAAGAAUCCUUUUACAACUUGAGAUUCACAGGCACAGGCUGCCAGGCAUGGAUGCUCAGAAGUAGAAUAUUGUGCCCUCCAGGGCUCAUUAAUUAUUCAUCUUGACAAAAUAUCCCUGCCAAAGGCUGUACCUCAUCUUUGAUCUUUCCACCCCUGCCAGGGUUAACCCAGCACUUUUCAUUCUCUUGUCUUAAGAAUUUCUGUUUUUUCUUCAAAAAAAGAAAGAAAGAAAUAAAAAGACAUUCAGACUCAGUCUAUGUCAAAUGAGAAAGGAUUAUUGCUAUAGGGCUUUGAGAAAGUACCCCAAUUCUGAAGUUUUGGCAGAAACAAAUGAGAAAUUUCUCUAUGAGCUUGCACACUUAGGACUGGUGCUUCCUUCCAAGAAAGUGUCUGGACACAUUCACCUUGAUCACAAAGUCAGCUUCUCAUGCAUGUGAUUCUCUUAUAGUGGUUGAGCGAAGGACAUUUAGAAAGGAAGUGAACAGAGAAUAUAUAUCUAUGGAUAAUUAGCAAAUUUAAAUAUAGGUGGAUAGGAGGUGCUUCUGUGGUGCAAUGGGAUGGGUGGCUUCUCUGCAGUGCCAGGAUGCAGGUUUGAUCCUAGCCGGGCACAGUGGGUUAAAGGAUCCAGCGUUAUUGCCACUGCAGCAUAGGUCACAACUGUGGUUCAGAUAUGAUCCCUGGCCCAGGAACUUCAUAUGCUGCAGGGACCCCAAAAAGAUAGAUAGAAAACAUUCGUUAAAUAUUCCUGGUAACCCUAAUCCUCAGGAGAGUUGGGAAAAUUGUAGUUUAUUAGAAGUUAUAUCUAUCGGUAAUGUAAAUUUACACAAUUUUCAGAUAUGUGAAAGACAGAAGAAAGGGAUAUAUUACAUGAGAAAAUUCUAAUUAUUUCCAAUAUUGGAAAUAUUUCACUAUUUUGAGGAGGAUAUAAAAGCGUAUAUAUGUCUGUAUCUAUACCUAAAACCAUGUGUGUGUGUGUGAAUAUAUAUAUAUAUCUUCAUGGAACUAUAUCUGUAUCUAUUUAUAUGAGAUAACUAUCAGACACAAUAUUUUAUUAUGAAUUUAACUUUAAAAAAGAUGAAUUGAGAUAAAAAGAUUUUAUAAAAUUUAAAGCUAUAUACAUAUGAUUUUUAUUUGUUUCCAUUAUGACUGUUUUACAGUGUUCUGUCAAAUUUCUACUGUACAGCAUGAUGACCCAGUUACACAUACAUGUAUACAUUCUUUUUUCUCACAUUAUCAUGCUCCAUCAUAAGUGACCAGACAUAGUUCCCAGUAUAAACUACUUAAUAAAAGUGAAAUAAGGUCUAUUUUCAGAUAUCACUAACUUUAGUUAUGUGAACCUGGAAUAUAUUUUGUAGCCAUUCAAAAGAAGCAGACUCUUUCUGUGGGAUCCUGUAGUUAUUUGAAAAUAGAGUGUCCACUGUUGGGAUGUUGAGUCUUAAUUCAUAGAUGAAGCAAAGCCAUUUGAACUUGAAUUACCUUCAAGACUAAGGCUAAAAUUAGGAAAUUCGAAUCUAUAUUACAGAGCUCUAGAACUUUAGACCAAGGAUUGUGAUAUUUUCCCCAAAGCAUUAUAAAUCACACUAAACAAAACAAAACCAAAUAAAAUUCCUGAGGUUGUUCAGGGGAAAAAAUAGUCAUAAUUCCAUUAAUGAUUUAUAAAGGUGAAUCUGGUGUCUUUGAUAGAAAAAAUUGCAGGGACCAGGGAAACUUGAUACAAGUAUGACAUAUUUACUCAUUAGAUAUUAUUCAGACAUUAUAGUAGAUAUUACAAUGUAAUUCAGACAUUAUAUUGAUGGUUUCAUUUUUUUCAAGCCAUGAUUUGUUUGAGUAGCUACUCAGUGCCGGACAUUUUUUCCAAGUGGUGACAAUAUGGUGUGAAAAGUCAGACCAAGUCCCUCCUCUCAUUGAGAUCACUUUCCUAGAGCAAGGGAGAGAAAAUGAAUUCCUUAAUACUAAAUUAAAAUAUAAUGCCAGGUACAGGUAACUAAAAAUAAAUAUAAAACAGACAAAUACCACAUGAUAUCGCUUAUAUCUUGAAUCUAAUAUACAGCACAAAUAAACCUUUGCUCAGAAAAGAAAAUCAUGAACUUGGAGAAUAGACUCUGUGCUUGCCAAUGGGGAGUGGGAGGGAGCGGGAUGGACUGGGAACGUGGGGUUAACAGGUGCAGACUAUUGCCUUUGGGAUGGAUAAGCAAUGAGAUCCUGCUGUGUAGCACUGGGAACUCUGUCUAGUCACCAGUGUGUAACUGGUCACCAUGCUGUAUAGUAGAAAAUUGAUAGAACACUGUAAACCAG
rnacentral:lncRNA from 1 species